rnacentral:rRNA from 1 species
AUACGGAGGAUCCGAGCGUUAUCCGGAUUUAUUGGGUUUAAAGGGUGCGCCGGCGGCCAUUUAAGUCAGCGGUUAAAUCGUGGGGCUCAACCCCAUUCUGCCGUUGAUACUGGGUGGCUUGAUUGCGGUCGAGGUUGGCGGAAUUCGUUGUGUAGCGGUGAAAUGCAUAGAUAUGACGAAGAACACCGAUUGCGUAGGCAGCUGACCAGACCGCAAAUGACGCUCAUGCACGAAAGUGCGGGGAUCGAACAGGAUUAGAUACCCUGGUAGUCCGCACAGUAAACGAUGAAUACUUGUUUUCGGCGAUAUAAUGUCGGAGGCAAAGCGAAAGCGAUAAGUAUUCCACCUGGGGGGUACGCCGGCAACGGUGAAACUCAAAUGAAUUGACGGGG